rnacentral:pre_miRNA from 1 species
AGUGGGAUAGCUGCGUCAAAUGGUGGUUCCAUUCCAAGUUUUCUGAGGAAUCUCCAUAUUGCUUUUCAUAAUGGUUGCACCAAUUUGCAUUCCCACCAGCAAU